GCUCCCGCGAGGCUCCACGCGGCCGUAGUCGACACCGCGGAGGGGACGCGUGGAAGUGACGGUGUCUGUCGCGGGAGGUCCCCGCAGGGUUGUGGGGCGAUGGGUCAGCUUCUCCCCGCGUGCGGCCCCGCUCCGGGCCAGGCCGCGCUCGCUCCGGGAGACCCUCCGGCCCGCCAGGCGCCGCCCGCCGGGAUCCUCCCGAACUCCUGAUGAGCGGGUAGGGUCCCGUUUCCUUGGCAGGGUGAUGGGGAGUGAGAAAACGGUGCAGGGGGCCUUCCUAGGGCACCGCUGCCCCGUGGGAGGAGGCACGAGUUGUCUGGUAGAGAAUAACUAACACUGACUUAAUCAACGUGAGAGCCGUCUCCACCAACCCCUCCAAGAGUGCGAUAUGGUUUUGCCCCGGCCUUCUCCCCCGGCGCUCGCUCCUCCGCCCGUAACCCUCCGGCUUCUGCCCCGCCGGCACUUCGGAGAUUUCUCAGCUUCUUAGGGGACAUGUUUCGGGCCUUCACUUAAGGUACGGGCCGUCUGCGGCAGCAUUGGAACGUCUGUUGAGAUUUCCGCCUGGUAUUCGUUUCCGUGAUGGUGGUCGUGCUUCCUUUCCCGUGUGUGCGUUUCCUUCUCGGAUCAGACCCUUCUCCGGUGUUCCUGUCCUCUGCGUUCCUUCAACUGUUAACUUCAGCCAUCGCCUAAAUGCUUCAAUUCCUUGAGGACACAGCUCCCUCCCGAGCACCAGGCCACCUGCUUCGCGGACACGGCCCUUUGCGAGCCCUGCAGUGAUCUCAGACUCCGCACCUUCCACCACAAGGUUGCACCUUCCUCCUGUGCUCCUGACCUCACCGAAGGAUAACGUUCACCCAGCUGUCAGGCCCCAAACCUAGGGGUCCUGCUUCAGUUCGUCCUCUUCGCGUUCCUAAGAGGUUAUUAAGUCAUUUAUCUUCUCCGCAUCGCAUCCCUAAAUUACCGCAGCUGCCCCAUUGCACUGCAAUCCGUCUGUAUUUACCACCGGGGCCAUCUUUUCAAACCGAAUAAAAUCGGAAGGCCAGACAGAACUGACAGAAAACACUCCAUCCCUGAAAGAAAAGCAGGAUGCUGAAAAAUAUCCAUCAGCUGAUGCGAGCCCAUUCUGGUGCAGUCCAGCAUGAGCCACAGAACCGUGCAACGAACAGAAAGGGGAGUUCGGACACAUAGAAGGUCCUCUAAGUGAUUUGUAUAAGAAAUGGCCUCUGUUAAGAGGCACAGAAUACCCCUUCAUUAAAGGUAACAUUCACUGCUUAUUUUUAUUAAAUCCUCGUAUCAUCAAUACUGUCAUAGUGAAAGAAGAUUUAAGGAACUCAUAUAUUAGAGAGUAUGACACAUCCUUAGCUUCCUGAUUCAUGGGAAAAUGUCCAGGAAAUCUUAACGGAAAAAAAGGUCAAUAAAUCGUUGAAAAUGGCUCACAGCAGGUUCCCCAAGAAUCAGAAGUGGAGGACGAUGCCUAGCGUCCCGAUGCAAGUCUGAGUGGCCUCCCCGGUGUCCCCCCAGCUGCACGUGGUUGCCCCACAUUACCUCACACGGCGUGGAACGUGCAGGCACGUGUUGCCUCAACUCUACCCAGCCUGAGCCCUAGCCACUUCCAGAUGGCCCCAGCGGCCCUGCCCCGUGUUGCCGCACCCAGCAGCCUUCCGACACCGGGAAGGGACGGGUUUACACAAUUAAAAAGUUUGACCGAUUGCAAAAGCAUUUCUAUGAACCACUUCACGGCACUGAAAAAAGAUAGUUCCGCUUCAAGCUUUUACUGUGCGAGAAAGACCUCUACAAUGUGCAAAAUAAGACCAAACAAAAUAGCUCCUGCAACAUUUCAUCAAGAGUAGACACACACACACACACACACACACACACACACACACACUAUCCUUGGGUUUCAGGCUACUGUUCUCCUGCCUGAGGUUAAGCUGGCUCUCAUGUGGCCACCUGGGCCCGUGGGAGGGGAGUGCAAUAGGUCCUGACGUAGGCAACAGUUAGUCCCCUUCCAGACCUGAGCUCCCCGCCCUUACCCAGGGGUUCGGUUUCUAACCACACGUCAGAGCGGCUCAUCUCUUGGGCUUUCAUCUGCCUGAAAGAGGCAGAAAGAAGGGAGGAUGGCAGUGAGUGCUAAGUGCUGGAGCCUCACCUGUGUUUGCGUCCUGCGUGACCGGAGUGUGGGGCCGAUUCACUGGGAAUCCUGAGGCAAGCCAGACUUCGGGUUUAGAACAUUCCAAAUAAAAGAGGUUUGACAACUGCAUCGGGGUUUCAUAGGGAACCAAGAUCACAGAGCAAAUAAAUGAAUAUAUAUAUAUAUAUAUAUUUUUUUUUUUUUUUUCAGUAACUUAGCUUCUUGCAUUGAAGUUGAUCCAAAUGUUAAUGACUCCGGUCAGGUGCAUAAGGCUUUUAGACACAAAAGAUGGCUCUCAGAGGCAGGAUGUCUUCUCAGCCCUUUACACGAUCCCCUUAGAGCACGUUUAUGUAGGCAACAGAUGCCAUACUUAUAUUUUCACAGUGGCUUGAAUUUUUUUCCUUUAUUCUGCACUAUUACACUGUCUCACCUACGCUGAUGUAUCAUUAGCUACAAUUAUUGUGUAUUGGUACGAUUAUUGUGUUAUCAUUCACCGUGUUGGAGUUUCAUUUGCCCUAUUUUUGUGAGAGGAAUGGAACAAAGUUCUCCACUAACCAGCAAACAGGAUGGGGAGAGGCAUCUUUUAAGAACACACACACAUGUGACAAUACACAAGGUAAAUUAUAAGCUAUAAUUAAAAAUAUGUGGAAACCAACAUCACUGGGUCCUUCCCAAGCUAAAGAUCUCUGGGAAAUACGCAACAAUUUGUAGCUGCCCUCGUUCUAUUUUCACUGCAAAAUAUUUUUCUCCAUGUACACGGUAUUGUUACAAGAGGAUUUGGGUGCUUGUGAAUUAAGGAAAUCUUCCAAAUAAGGGGGAAAAAACCAACAGAAACCUCAUUCACAAAUGUGUCUGUUUUCAGCAGUGUUGAUAGCAUUUUGUGGAGAUGCCGGAAUCAAUGAAAGCCUGUUGCGAGCACAUUUGUUAAAAGUACCUAACCGCUUUCAAAGUUUUCAUAACUUUUCAUUUCGUAGAAGAAAUCUAUGCUUUUUUUUUUUUAAUGAACUUUAUAUCAUAGGAAGAGGCUGAACAUGGGGCUUGGCUGUAAGGACUUUGCAAACCAGACCACACAUUGUUCUGAGAACAGCACAGUCAGGCUUCCCAGUCUCGGGUGCCAGGACCCCCCACCCCCACCCCGGGAGCGCCUGUUGGAAGCUCGCUCCCCUUCCAGAGCCGACUUCGACGUAAGCACGGCCGCCACGUCCAGUGCAUCGAAUCGCUGCAUCGCCCUGACGUUUCCUGCAAAGUCAGGACAUCGGAUUCUGUCUUGUCUUGUUUUGGAAAUGCCACUGUGACUACAUUCUGUCCCCUUUGGAAGAACCGAGCAGCGUCCACACUGGAAAAGCAGCCGAGGCAACCCAGACUGACUUACACGGGAAGGCUUUGGCCCGGCUCGCGUCGUGAACCCCCCGCACCCUCUCCACCGGCUCCCCCAGCUUCUCCGUGUUGCCCGAUUUGGUAAGCUCCUUCUGAGUGUUUUCAUGGCCAAAUGACUUUCAAUGUCGUUCACCGCUAAGCCAAACAAUGAUUUCUUUCUGUAACGUUUUGCUUCUGGGGUUAAUUGCCUCUUUUUCUUACUUUGCUUGGUGGUGGGCCCACCCAGGCCCUUUCCCCUGAUCCAGCGUGACCCGGUCACACAGCAGGCCUGUCCCCAGGCUGCCGCCCCGCACCUCCUCCCCUUCUUGUCUGAGGGAGCCGUCCCACGCCGGCCUCGUUCCUGUUUGCUCCUCCCUUGGGGGGCUGCGUGUCACCGGGAAUGUCUCCAGGACGCCAGCCUCAGCAGACCGGGGUGCUACGGGGCACAGGCUUCGUACCUCUCCCCGCGUCUACACCCAUUCCCUCCGGCUUCGGAAUCUCUUCUGGCCACUAGACCGUCAGCUUUACAUCUCUGUUCCCGGCCUCUCCUCCGAACAUCCACCUGCCCCUGGCACAUCUCCGCGUGGCUGUCUGACGUCCACCCCCAACUCGCUCUUUUUCCAUCUUCCCCAUCAUAGAAAACGGGAUGCCAUUCACUCCGUGGUUCGGGCGAAAGACCUCGGGGCGUCCCUGAUGAUCCCCUUUCUGUCCUCCCACAGCGGCGAACCCCGACAGCUCUACCUUCCAGUGGUGUGUCCGGCAGGGCGGCUCCCCUCCUCGCUGCCCCCCUGCUGCCCGGGGAUGAGCAGCCGCCGCCCUCGCCCCGCAUCAGCCACACUCCGGGGUUUCCUGAACCCUCCAGGCAUUUGCCCUCACUCUGUCCUCCCUUGGGCUCCCUCACUCACAAAACACUCAGGGGUUUCAUUCCCUCCCUUCAUUGAGUUCUGUCCAAAUGCCACAUCUUCAGAGAGGCCUGCCCUGUCCACUCCCUCUAAUGCUUUAUCUCCAUUUCCCUCCAUAGUUCUCUUUUCUGCACAGCGUUUCUGACAUUAAGCCACAUCUCUAGGUGUGUCCGUUCAUUGUCUGUCCACCUGCUACAGCCAACGCUCUAGGAGGCCAGGAUGUCACUGUUGUUGGUAGUUCUGUAUCUCCAGUGCCUGAGGGAGGGCUCAGUGAGUAUCUGUUGAUGAAGGGAGGGAUGGAUGGAUGGAUGAAUGGAUGGAUGGAUGGAUGGAUGGAUGGAGGGAAUUCUACGUCUAGAAUUUAAAAUCAUUAACAUUCCUAGACAUGAUCACUGAAAUUCAAGUGGACACCACUGGUCUGAUGGGCUGCAUUAGCACAGAUAAAAUUAGUGGACUAGAAUACCAACAUCAGAAACUUUACCAAAAAACACGGCGCCUGGGUGGCUCAGUCGGUUGGGCGUCGGACUUGAUUUCGGUCAUGAUUCCAUGGUGGUGAGAUCGAGCCCCAUGUCGGGCUCCGUGCUGAGUUGGAGCCUGCUUGGGAUUCUCUUUAUCUCCCUCCCCCUCUCUCUGCCCCU